UAGGGAAUCUUCCACAAUGGGCGAAAGCCUGAUGGAGCAACGCCGCGUGUGUGAUGAAGGGUUUCGGCUCGUAAAACACUGUUGUAAGGGAAGAAUGACAUUGAGAGUAACUGUUCAAUGUGUGACGGUAUCUUACCAGAAAGGAACGGCUAAAUACGUGCCAGCAG
rnacentral:rRNA from 1 species